GUUGGUAGGGUAACGGCCUACCAAGGCUAUGACGGGUAGGGGACCUGAGAGGGUGGCCCCCCACAAUGGAACUGAAACACGGUCCAUACACCUACGGGUGGCAGCAGUAGGGAAUAUUAGAAAUGGGCGGAAGCCUGAUCUAGCAACACCGCGUGUGCGAUGAAGGCCUUCGGGUUGUAAAGCACUUUUUGGAGGGAAUAGGAAGGAAGGUACCUCCAGAAUAAGUCUCGGCUAACUACGUGCCAGCAGCCGCGGUAACACGUAGGAGGCAAACGUUAUCCGGAUUCACUGGGCGUAAAGCGCGUGCAGGUGGUUCCGUAAGUAGGGCGUGAAAGCUCCCGGCUCAACUGGGAGAGGCCGUACUAAACUGCGGAGCUAGAGGAUGGUAGAGGGAGGUGGAAUUCCAGGUGUAGUGGUGAAAUGCGCAGAUAUCUGGAGGAACACCAGUGGCGAAGGCGGCCUCCUGGACCAUUCCUGACACUCAGACGCGAAAGCUAGGGUAGCAAACGGAAUUAGAGACUCCGGUAGUCCUAGCCCUAAACGAUGCAGACUAGGCGUCGGCGGUUUAAUCACCGUACGGUGUCCAAGCUAACGC
rnacentral:rRNA from 1 species